rnacentral:rRNA from 1 species
UACAGAGGUCCCAAGCGUUGUUCGGAUUCAUUGGGCGUAAAGGGUGCGUAGGCGGGUCUUUAAGUCAGGGGUGAAAUCCUGGAGCUCAACUCCAGAACUGCCUUUGAUACUGAGGAUCUUGAGUCCGGGAGAGGUGAGUGGAACUGCGAGUGUAGAGGUGAAAUUCGUAGAUAUUCGCAAGAACACCAGUGGCGAAGGCGGCUCACUGGCCCGAUACUGACGCUGAGGCACGAAAGCGUGGGGAGCAAACAGG